AGCAUAAGGAUCGAACCGGAGAACAUGUUGCUGUGAGGCGACAACGCUAACGGGUGCACCACCGGGGCCGCCAUUAAUACUGUUUAAUAGUAACAUUAAAUUAGAUGUUCCAUACUACUGUCUGAACUUUGCAAAACAGUGAACUACUUACUUGUCUUUGCCCUCUACCAGUCUGACAUGCUGACUGGAGUACAUUGUUAAAAACAGGAAAAAAACGCUGCGAAGAUAUCGCAGUAACUUACGUCUCAAUACAACUGUUCAUAUAGUAGUUGAACUUCAUCAGAACAGUAACAGAUAACAUAACACUUUUGUACACAAACUCAUUCCUUGCCCAAAUUUAAAAAAAAAAAAAAAAACAGACGUCAUUAGAGUCCCUCUGAAAUAAUACCCAAACCAUUUCAUACGAGACACAGCACCUCUGAAAUACAUAAAGCUACAUAACAUUCAAAAAAUAGUGAAAAUACACAUUUUAAAUCCAUAUAAAUUGAUUAGCUAUAUAUCUGAACUACAUGUGUGUACAUAUACACACGACAACAUUCCGGGUAUUAACUACAUUUUAAAUGAAAGUCAGUGGUCAGAACAGUACUACAUUUGCGUACAAAACAUAAUUUAUGGCUAUACAUCAUGGUUUGAAACACGUUUAGUUUUCAAAAGAAAUUUCGUAUAUAUACAGUUACUUUUUAGUUUUACUACUUCCCAUCACUCCCACUGGCUUUGCCAACAUAAUUAGCGUUAGAAACGUAGUUUGCUAUUUACGUCGAAGUCGUAAAAAGGUAGCCCGUUUCUUUUCUCAGCCAUCGUGGUAAUUAUCUGAACUGGCAGGAAAUUGCGUGCAAGGUCCUUCAUUCUUUCUUUCCGGUAGGUCCGCCAUAUUACAGGAAGAAAUUCAAGUUGAAGCUCUGAAUGGUUUGAAUGGAGCUCCAAAGUUCAUAGACAGAUUAGUACUAGGCUAGCUGCCCUUGUGGGCCAUUUUAAGCCUAGCCAAUUACCCCAUGUGAGAAUCAAACCCUGCACCUUGUGUUUGUAAGCGGCAGUCUGAGACAUGGCUACUGAACAAGUGCUGGAUAUUGAACAUGAUUAUAUUCUGACUGGUGAGGUGAAUACUGGAACUUUAAAUCCAAUUGGCGGCUGCUUUGCCUGGAAUGAGGCGCAGCCUAACGUCGGAUUCCUUAUCUGAAAGGUUUGAAAAGUAUUUGAAGACUUUAGAAGUUUGGGGAGAGGAUUCCCGCCAGCUUGAAGGUGAUGUUUCUGUUGUAACGGAUGACAUGGAAGUUCUACAGUCUCAUUUAGAUGCACUAGAAAAGGAUUUUUUGCGUUACAAACGUUUGCAAAUGCAAUGCCUGCACUUUGAAGCCUGUCUUGAAAGUAACAUUGUGCCUAGGGGACUGUGCGUCUUAAAUAUGCCGAGCCAAGGUUCUCUGUACCCAGAGUUAACAGGUUGGCAGAAAUUUAAUUUGGAGGCGAGUGCUGGUUAUAUGAAGCUCCUAUUGAUUUCUUUAAACCUGAGGAGGAGCGGUUGCAAGCUAGUUUAAUACGGAAACAAACAACUUUUUAAUCUUUAUCGAGUGAAUGUCCAAUAACCUCUCAGAGAGGACCAUGGACAGUGUUGCCAUAUUUGAACAGAAACUUGUAGAACAAAAACGAACAAAAAUUAUUAGACACACUUCGGACUUUAAAGCAGGCCAUGUGUUUUUGUGGCCUCGUACUGGACAUUCUAUUGACAAUGUUUUGCAGACUCCUAGGAGAGAUGUUAUGAAAAUAAAUAAUGUUUUAGCCUGUGAGGAUGUCAAUACUAAUAGUUUGCAUGUAGCUCAGGGUCCUGAUAGUGAUGACCCUUGAGCAUGAAUGGGGAAAAAGGUUUAUUGGUAAUAAGGGUAGUAUUGCUUCUAACCCUAUAGAUACAACUGACACUGUUACAUGUGCUGCUAAUGUGAAUGAUGCCUCUAGUAAUGGUGAAGAACGGAUGGGAUAAUUAGGAGGACAGGGUUGCCUGAGAGGAAUGGUUGUAAUUGGAAGGGAUAGUUCUGGAGCGAGUGACUGUGUAGUUAGACCCAAGGCCAAUGUCAAGCAUGUUAAUAUGGUUGUGUCCUCAGUAUGUUACCAGAAUGGAGUUGAUGGUCAACUCCCUUUUCUGCUACCUGUCCGAGUGGACAGGGGAGGGGGGAGAGGCAAGUCCAACAGCAGGAACAGGCACAAAAGAAAACUGUCAGGGGAAUCGUUUCCGAAUCAAGCCAUCAAGAAGAUGUGGGGCAAGAUACAACCUCGCUAAUUUAUAAUAUUUCUAACCAUUAUUUGACUAUAGAAAUACAGAAUGUAUUACAUAAAGGUUUAAACUUUAUUCCUACUCGUCCGAGCAGUUUGGCAAAUACUGUAUUAGACCUGAAGAUUUUUUGUAGGGAUGUUAUGUUUUUUGGUAGUAAUGUUGGUAGUGGAGAAGGAGACGCUAGCCAGGAUAUAUAUCUGAGAAGACCCAGAAGUUAUACACCUUCUAAUCAUCCAUUAGUUGAGGCUUAUUGAAAGUUGACAAGAUGAGAUUUUUCAUUUUUAUGAAAAGAGGACAUCUACCCUGAAUAAAACCCUGAG